CACCAAGGCGACGAUCCAUAGCCGACCUGAGAGGGUGACCGGCCACAUUGGGACUGAGACACGGCCCAAACUCCUAGGGGAGGCAGCAGUGGGGAAUAUUGCACAAUGGGCGAAAGCCUGAUGCAGCGACGCCGCGUGAGCGAAGAAGUAUUUCGGUAUGUAAAGCUCUAUCAGCAGGAAGAUAAUGACG
rnacentral:rRNA from 1 species